rnacentral:rRNA from 1 species
AUUGAACGCUGGCGGCAGGCCUAACACAUGCAAGUCGAGCGGAGCGGCGGACGGGUGAGUAAUGCCUAGGAAUCUGCCUGGUAGUGGGGGAUAACGUCAGGAAACGGGCGCUAAUACCGCAUACUAUCAGAUGAGCCUAGGUCGGAUUGGCUAGUUGGUGGGGUAAAGGCCUACCAAGGUGAGGAUCCGUAACUGGUCUGAGAGGCGGAUCAGGCACACGGGAACGGAGAAACGGUCCAGAGUCCUACGGUAGGCAGAAGUGGGGAAUAUUGGACAACGGGCGAAAGCCGGAUCCAGCCAUGCCGGGUGUGUGAAGAAGGUCUUCGGAUUGUAAAGCACUUUAAGUUGGGAGGCGUUACCAACAGAAUAAGCACCGGCUAACUUCGUGCCAGCAGCCGCGGUAAUUC